rnacentral:rRNA from 1 species
GAUGAACGCUGGCGGCGUGCCUAAUACAUGCAAGUCGAGCGAACGGACGAGAAGCUUGCUUCUCUGAUGUUAGCGGCGGACGGGUGAGUAACACGUGGAUAACCUACCUAUAAGACUGGGAUAACUUCGGGAAACCGGAGCUAAUACCGGAUAAUAUUUUGAACCGCAUGGUUCAAAAGUGAAAGACGGUCUUGCUGUCACUUAUAGAUGGAUCCGCGCUGCAUUAGCUAGUUGGUAAGGUAACGGCUUACCAAGGCAACGAUGCAUAGCCGACCUGAGAGGGGGAUCGGCCAACCGGGACAUGAGACACGGCCCCGACCCCUACGGGAGGCAGCAGUAGGGACUCUUCCGAAAGGGGCGAAAGCCUGAGGGGGCAACGCCGGGGGAGGGAUGAAGGUCUUCGGAUCGUAAAACUCUUUUUUUAGGGAAAAAAAUAUGUGUAAGUAACUGUGCACAUCUUGACGGUACCAAAACAAAAAGCCACGGCUAACUACGU